rnacentral:rRNA from 1 species
CCAAGGAGUCUUGCAAAUGCGCGAGUCAYUGGGUUCUACGAAACUCGCAGGCGCAAUGAAAGUGAAGGGCAGCUCGCUGUCUGAGGUGGGAUCCCGCGUGUCGGGCGCGGGCGCACCACCGGCCCAUCUCGCCGGCAGCGCCCGGGAGGUGGAGCAGGAGCGUAUUUGCAAGGACCCGAAAGAUGGUGAACUAUGCCUGGGCAGGGUGAAGCCAGAGGAAACUCUGGUGGAGGCCCGUAGCGAUUCUGACGUGCAAAUCGAUCGUCAAACCUGGGUAUAGGGGCGAAAGACUAAUCGAACCAUCUAGUAGCUGGUUCCCGCCGAAGUUUCCCUCAGGAUAGCUGGCACCUUUUCGCAGUUUUAUCCGGUAAAGCGAAUGAUUAGAGGCAUCGGGGACGAAACGACCUCGACCUAUUCUCAAACUUUAAAUGGGUAAGAAGUCCGGCCCGCUUGGCUUGGGCC